UUUACACAGACAGUGUUUUA
rnacentral:piRNA from 1 species